UUUCUCAUUAAAAUACAGAGAAUAGUGAUUUGUCUCAAUUGUCACGUUUCCAAAUUUAUCAAAGGGCUGCGCAUUUGCGUUCGUCCAUUUCUUUUCUGUGGAAAAUUAGGAAAGAAAGAAUGGGAAAGAGGGUAGGGAGAGGUGGAAGAAGGGACGAUUUGCCGUCGCCGUCGAUCUUGAGUCGAUCUGUAGACUCCGUAUUCGAUUUCGUCCGUUUUGCUGAGUUCGAGAUCCUCUUCGUCCUCUUCUUCGUUGUAGCUUUUGUCAUUUUCAAGGAUCUGGUUAGCCUUCUUUCCCUUUAUUACCACUUCUUUUUUGUGCUUUUUAUUUGCUACUGAUAAGUCUCUUUUUGAAGCCGGGAGGGGUAAUUUUGAUUGUUGUGACUCACUGACUUGUGAUUUGUGGUAAGUGUUUAACCCAAAAAUAGUUUCAGGAAUAAGCAAUUAAAUUUAUUUUUAAGAGGUCACUAGCAACAGGUUCGAAUCAAAGUCUGAUAGAAUGAAGCAAGAGAUUAAACUAAAAAACGCUGUGUAUGAAGUAACGAAAGUAAGCAAGAAUAAGUAAGAAUGAUCUUAUUGAUUUCAGCCGUAAGCCACAGUGCUUGCAAAGUGAAAAGGGAUUGCCAGAUGAUAGUACAAUAAUCUUUUUUUAAGAGUGAGUACAGUGAAUUCUCAUGGAUGUUACUAGCAAAUAGAAUAGGGGUAUUUAUAGCCUAAACCUAACGCUAACAUGAUCAUCCCCACUUCCACACGCCGCUCCAAGUGGUUAGCAGAUUCCGAGAUCCUCGCCGGUUGUGGGUAAUGAAUUCGGCAUAAUGGGCGCAGAUGAAUCCCUGAUAUUUCGGGACCCGUUGAGGACCAAUUCAAGCCCCGGGCCACAACCUUAUUGAUAGAUCCCCGGAGCCGUCUUAGAAGCGAUCCUCCAUGACCCGAUGCUUGCCUCCCUGUGAGUGAGUCACCGAACCACGCAUAUUUUCUAUGCAGGUCGAACUUUGUGGCCAUCUCAUUCCUGGAAUAAGAUGUUGUGUCAUCACGCGAUCUGUCCACGUGUCAGUGUCGAUUUUUACCAAUACCAUAUGGAUCUGCCAAGGUAAGAUUACAAAUGACCCAAAAGUAUAUCAGAGGGUAAAAUCAAGAUAUUUCCAUAGUAGAGCUGUAAAUUUGGAAUUUUUUCCCUCUACAUUGAUAGCAAAAUAGCGUAAUGAAUGGUUUCAGAUCCCAGCUGUAACUCAGUGUGAGCACUCGGCUCCAACUUUGAUGCUUAGAUUUACCCGCCACCUAUGAUGCAGGCACUGCCUGGUCGAUUACUCAUGUGCCUAAGCUGGCACAGAUGUAAUUGUCAUUCAUAAAUUAAAAAAAGGGCGUAAAAUAGUAGGAUGGAAAACCCAAGCUAUAUGCCAGUGCUUCCUCUUGUUAAAAAUACCAUGCCAAUUUGCAAUUUUUCUUCUUUGAAGCGCCAACAAUUUUAGCAAUCAAAGCAUCAGUUGGUUGUUGUUGUGGUGGUUG
rnacentral:lncRNA from 1 species